rnacentral:rRNA from 1 species
AGUGAACGCUGGCGGUAGGCCUAACACAUGCAAGUCGAACGGCAGCACAGUAAGAGCUUGCUCUUACGGGUGGCGAGUGGCGUACGGGUGAGGAAUACAUCGGACUCUACUUUUUCGUGGGGGAUCACGUAGGGAAACUUACGCUAAUACCGCAUACGACCUACGGUUGAAAGCAUGGGAUCUUCGGACCUUGCGCGAUUGAAUGAGCCGCUGUCGGAUUAGCUAGUUGGCGGGGUAAAGGCCCACCAAGGCGACGAUCCGUAGCUGGUCUGAGAGGAUGGUCAGCCACACUGGAACUGAGACACGGUCCAGACGCCUAAGGGAGGCAGCAGUGGGGAAUAUUGGACAAUGGGCGCAAGCCUGAUCCAGCCAUACCGCGUGGGUGAAGAAGGCCUUCGGGUUGUAAAGCCCUUUUGUUGGGAAAGAAAAGCAGCAGGUUAAUACCCAGCUGUUCUGACGGUACCCAAAGAAUAAGCACCGGCUAACUUCGUG